UCUUCUCCGAUUCCUUCUCAGGCGUUGCAGCUGCGUGUUCUCGCAUCUUCUCUCUCCAUCCCCCAGCUCUUCCACCAUGGUGGACAUCCUGUUGUUGAUGUUUUUCGCCGUCAUGGGUCUCGUCUUCCUCUCCUACAUCAUCUACAUGCUGUGAUGAGACGAUCCGCGGAACGGAGGCGGAGUUUUGUCCUUCCUGCAUCCCUGCUUACCGCCAUGCACAAAGACUGAAGGAAAUCAUGCAGGUCAUGAUGUUUCCCCUCUCAGCUCUCAGAUGGAACAUGGGAAUCCCAGAGGGAGACGAAUGGACAACACCUUUAUGUCUAGUAUUAUUAUUUUUCCAACAUUUGUGGCCUCACCUCAUCUCCUACAACAACAUUUAUCCAGUUAAUCCAUCAAUAUGAAUUCAGGAUGUUUUCUUUCCUGCUCCUUUAUUAAUAUUAGCAACAGUUCACUCAUUAUGCUGCGUCAAAAAUAGUUUAUUUAUUGUUUUUGUUCCAUCUGGAAGAAAAAUCCUUGUUUAUUGGUAUUCAUGAUGUGUUUACAGAUGCACUGAUAAUCAGCUAAGAUAUAUUUCACGUGGUGUUAAUUAAAGAUGAUUUAAAUACAA